CCUACGGGUGGCAGCAGUGAGGAAUAUUGGUCAAUGGGCGCGAGCCUGAACCAGCCAAGUCGCGUGCGGGAAGACGGCCCUACGGGUUGUAAACCUCUUUUGCCGGGGAGCAACGGGCGCCACGUGUGGCGCCACUGAGAGUACCCGGACAACAAGCAUCUGCUAACUCCGUGCCAGCAGCCGCGGUAAUACUGAGGAUGCGAGCGUUCUCCGGAUUUAUUGGGUUUACAGGGUGCGUAGGCGGAGCGUUAAGUCAGUGGUCAAAUUGAGGGGAUCAACCCCUUCCCGCCAUUGAAACUGGCGCUCUUGAGUGGAAGAGAAGUAUGCGGAAUGCGGGGUGUAGCGGUGAAAUGCAUAGAUAUCACGCAGAACCCCGAUGGCGAAGGCAGCAUGCCGGCUUCCGACUGACGCUGAAGCACGAAAGCGUGGGGAGCGAACAGGAUUAGAUACCCUGGUAGUC
rnacentral:rRNA from 1 species